rnacentral:rRNA from 1 species
AUUGAACGCUGGCGGCAUGCCUUACACAUGCAAGUCGAACGGCAGCACGGGUGCUUGCCCCUGGUGGCGAGUGGCGAACGGGUGAGUAAUACAUCGGAACAUGUCCUGUAGUGGGGGAUAGCCCGGCGAAAGCCGGAUUAAUACCGCAUACGAUCUACGGAUGAAAGCGGGGGACCUUCGGGCCUCGCGCUAUAGGGUUGGCCGAUAGCUGAUUAGCUAGUUGGUGGGGUAAAGGCCUACCAAGGCGACGAUCAGUAGCUGGUCUGAGAGGACGACCAGCCACACUGGGACUGAGACACGGCCCAGACUCCUACGGGAGGCAGCAGUGGGGAAUUUUGGACAAUGGGCGAAAGCCUGAUCCAGCAAUGCCGCGUGUGUGAAGAAGGCCUUCGGGUUGCAAAGCACUUUUGUCCGGAAAGAAAUCCUUGGCUCUAAUACAGUCGGGGGAUGACGGUACCGGAAGAAUAAGCACCGGCUAACUACGUG